GUGCCAGCCCUACUGGUCUAAGGCCACAGAGUGAUAAAAAUACUCGUAAAAAAUAGAGGAACCCUGAUUUUGUGAUGUAAGCAUAUAUAGAUGCAUGAUUUGCACCCAACAUAAGAUUUUCACUAAUAAGGACUGAUCUUUGGCGCUUUGUUUGCAACAGGUACUUAUAUGAUAUUUUGACCAAGGCUAGUGUGGUGAGGAAGAAAAUUCCAGUUCUUAUUCUCUGCAACAAGACAGACAAAGUGACAGCACAUAGCAAGGAAUUUAUUCGAAAACAGUUGGAGAAGGAAAUUGACAAAUUACGAGCAUCAAGAAGUGCAAUAUCAGCAGCUGAUAUUGCAAAUGACUUUACACUUGGAGUACCUGGCGAACCAUUUUCAUUCCAUCAGUGCCAGAACAAAGUUACAGUUGCAGAAGCUUCUGGUCUAACGGGUGACAUAUCUCAGGUGGAGCAAUUUAUCAGGGACCAUGUGAAGUCUUAGUAUGUUUCCUCCCAUUUCAUGAGUGUGGUAUUUUUGCUUUGAGAAUUGUCGGUUGAACAUCGUUUGUUGAUGAUUGAGAAAACUCAACAAAGAUAUGCUCAGAACCAAUUGAACUGUUCAAGGAAAGGGGAGGAAUUAAAAUAGAGGAAGAGAAAGCAAGGCACAGAUACGCUAAUGCAUGUUUCUGUUGUGGUCUCAGUGAGUACUUGAGACAUGUUAUGGUACAAACUGCUAAUUAUGGUGGCUUUGUUGUAAUUUAAAGGAUCUUCCAAGAGAUUAUGGCUCAAGUUGUAUUAAUUUGAUUUUUGUGCUCUUGAUUGUGUUUGCACUCUAGGAUGCCCCCAGUUAUGGUCAGCCCUAAAUAUGUACUCAUCGACUUGCCCUCCACACAAAUGUUUAAUUCCGCAGUAAAAUGUGAAAAAGUCAUCCCUGUUUAGUUUGA